rnacentral:rRNA from 1 species
AUUGAACGCUGGCGGCAUGCUUUACACAUGCAAGUCGAACGGUAACAGGCCGCAAGGUGCUGACGAGUGGCGAACGGGUGAGUAAUGCAUCGGAACGUGCCCAGUCGUGGGGGAUAACUACUCGAAAGAGUAGCUAAUACCGCAUACGAUCUAUGGAUGAAAGCGGGGGACCGUAAGGCCUCGCGCGAUUGGAGCGGCCGAUGUCAGAUUAGGUAGUUGGUGGGGUAAAGGCUCACCAAGCCGACGAUCUGUAGCUGGUCUGAGAGGACAACCAGCCACACUGGGACUGAGACACGGCCCAGACUCCUACGGGAGGCAGCAGUGGGGAAUUUUGGACAAUGGGCGCAAGCCUGAUCCAGCAAUGCCGCGUGCAGGAAGAAGGCCUUCGGGUUGUAAACUGCUUUUGUACGGAACGAAACGGCUCUGGUUAAUACCCGGGGCUAAUGACGGUACCGUAAGAAUAAGCACCGGCUAACUACGUG